rnacentral:rRNA from 1 species
UACGGGGGGAGCAAGCGUUGUUCGGAUUUACUGGGCGUAAAGGGCGCGUAGGCGGCCACCGCAAGUCAGUUGUGAAAUCUCUGGGCUUAACCCAGAAAGGUCAACUGAUACUGCGGGGCUAGAGUGCAGAAGGGGCAACUGGAAUUCUCGGUGUAGCGGUGAGAUGCGUAGAUAUCGAGAGGAACACCUGCGGCGAAGGCGGGUUGCUGGGCUGACACUGACGCUGAGGCGCGAAAGCUAGGGGAGCGAAUGGG